rnacentral:misc_RNA from 1 species
CCGAGUUAGGGUCCCUCCCACGGGGCCCGACCUCCCAACCCCGUGUCUAAUAAACCUGUACGUGUUGCUUCGGCGGACCGGUUCGCUGCGUGGUCUCACGACCACAACGCCUGCCGCCGGGGGAAAAGGAGUUCACCCUCCCCCCCCUGGAGAGCGUCCGUCGAUGGCCCAACCAAACAAACUCCCAAACCAAAAUGUAUGUGAAACACAAUUCUGAAUCAGACCUUUUGAUAUACCAAUCAAAAACA